UACGGAGGAUGCGAGCGUUAUCCGGAUUUAUUGGGUUUAAAGGGUGCGUAGGCGGGACCUUAAGUCAGCGGUAAAAUCGUGGGGCUCAACCCCAUCCAGCCGUUGAAACUGGCUGUCUUGAGAUGUCGAGAGGUAUGCGGAAUGCGCAGUGUAGCGGUGAAAUGCUUAGAUAUUGCGCAGAACUCCGAUUGCGAAGGCAGCAUACCGGCGCCCAACUGACGCUGAAGCACGAAAGCGUGGGUAUCGAACAGG
rnacentral:rRNA from 1 species